CUCUAUGUGGAGAAUCAAUGUUGCAGAAAGUGGAAUGUAAUAUUUCAGCUUAACUCAAUAUCCAAGACCAUCUGCCAAGGACUUCACUUUCUUCCUCUGCUGGAGGAUGUCAGUCUUUCUAGCAACUGAUUUGCAGCCGGCAAUUGUUCACCUUGGGCUGAGGACUAAAGUCCAAACGAAUCUGUUGACCUCAGCUGCAGCUGCAUAGCUGAGAUUUCAGUGUGCUGCACAGAAACUGGGAUGGAAUGAAUUCAACUUCCUGAAGAGGAGAAGAGUCUGCAGGUGGAUCUGCAACACUGGUUGCAUCUGACCUUCAGGGUUCAUUUGCACUCCCAGUCCUGCACAGAGGGGCAGUGACCAAGAACAAAGAUGAUGGAAGUGGUGUGCUGGGAGAGGGAGCAUGGCACUUUCUG
rnacentral:lncRNA from 1 species